AUGAAGGCUGCUCUUGAUGUUUUGCAGUUGAUGAAGAAGAAUGGGGUCAACCCAAAUGUCCAAAUUUUUAAUGUAGUGAUCCAUGGAUUCUGUUGUGACAGUAAAGUGCAUCAAGCGAUGGCCUUCUUGACACAAAUGGUUGGGGCUGGGUUGUCGCCAAAUACUGUUACAUUCAACCCGCUGAUAUCUGGUCAUUGUAGCAUGGGUGAAAUUAAGAUUGCUAUCCAGUUGCUUGGUUUGAUGGAGGAUUAUGGCGUUCUUCCAGAUCGACAAACUUAUGCCAUCUUUAUAGAUGCUCAUUGUGAGGCCGAC
rnacentral:rRNA from 1 species